rnacentral:rRNA from 1 species
UACGUAGGGGGCAAGCGUUGUCCGGAUUUAUUGGGCGUAAAGAGCGUGUAGGCGGCCAUGCAGGUCCGCUGUGAAAACUCGAGGCUCAACCUCGAGACGUCGGUUGAAACCGUAUGGCUAGAGUCCGGAAGAGGAGAGUGGAAUUCCCGGUGUAGCGGUGAAAUGCGCAGAUAUCGGGAAGAACACCCGUGGCGAAGGCGGCUCUCUGGGACGGUACUGACGCUGAGACGCGAAAGCGUGGGGAGCGAACAGG